rnacentral:piRNA from 1 species
UGCAAUGUCAUAGGGCCCUGUAACAAUCU